AGAUCAAAUUGUUGGUCGUGCCUUGGUACGUACUGGCAUUAUUGGUUUCUCCCUUCUGAAGAACCAUGAUGUCAUUAAUUUGGUGUCAUGGGGAAUCAGGACUGUUACUUUGAAAAAAUUAGAGUGUUUAAAGCAGGCUCGCGCUUGAAUACAUUAGCAUGGAAUAAUGAAAUAGGACGUUUAAUUCUAUUUUGUUGGUUUCUAGGAUUGACGUAAUGAUUAAUAGGGAUAGUUGGG
rnacentral:rRNA from 1 species